AGGAAGAGAAGCUGACCUUUCUGAUUGUGAAAUACUCCCAGAAGCUCUAGGGGCUGGCUGGGUCACAGAGUUUCCUGAUUGCUGCAGGGGCUCCUUUCACUUUGGGCAUGCUCAUCAUUUCUCCAAGGUCAGAGGUUGGAGCCUUCAAUGUUAGUCAUGGCCUGGAAUCCUUCCAAAAAUGUUCCUUUUUCAUUGUGAAGAUUUUCUUACUGGGAGGGCGACUGGCUGAUGGUAUUCAAUGUCAGCUUCCCGUUCCUGAUGUCCAGGUCCUGAUUGGUCAGAAAGUAAAAGAGAAGGAGCUGAAACAGAAUCCAGUCUGUGGCAAAUAUGGCCUGGAGAAGAGAAAUGUCAGCAGGGGCGUUCUUCAAACGGUCUUCAAGUAUUUGAAGGGCUUAUUACCUGGGAGAGAAAUUCACCUUGAUCUGCUUGGCCCCAAAGGGCAGACCUGGAUGAUUGUUGUAGAGAGACAGACUUUAACGCGCCUUGCUAACAAUUAGUGCCUCCAAAGUGGACUGCCUUUAUUGGAAGUCUUCAAGCAAAGGCCAGAUGACCUCUUGUUCAAUAUUUUGGAAUAGGGAUUCCUGCUCAAGUAAGGUUCAAACCGGAUGGCCUCUCGCUCCCCCCAAAUUGAAGAUUUUUGUAGUUUUAUAAUUUGUUUUUGACUUUGUAUUCAUAUGCUCUAUAUCCAGGGCAUCUAAUUUUUAAAUUUAAAAUUCACGUAUUACUUUUCAAUAUUAUUUUAACAAGAAUUUACCUUCUCCUCUGUCUCUCCUCACAGCAUCUGUCUUUUUUCUUCAUGAAAAUGCAACAGGUCUAGAUUGUGUCAAAUGUUUCUCUUGUGACAGAAUUGAGAUUUGAACCCAAGUUCACUGACUCCAAACUGAAUGGUUUCUUUAGUGCAUCUUGCUAUAACAUAGUUUAAUUUUGGUCCCACUGAACUGUCCUCUUUAUCCUAUUUGCUGUGAUUAUUUAUACAGGUUAAAAUAUUGGGGCAAUUGAAGGGGGUGGUUGUUUAAUUGGUCAACAAAUACUUCAAAGGGCAGUUGAUAAUAUUUUGGGACUCAGUCCAAUUGAAUAGCAAAAUAUGAUGGUCUGAGUCUCACUGCACAACUUCUUAGAGCCCUCUGCCUUCAUAUUUUUCUGUGUUUUCCUCUCCUUUAAUCUUCUAUGUCCUUUCAUCUUUCUUUUCCUUUGUGGAUCCCUUUAUUUCCCUUUCUCUGUCUACCUCCCUCACUUUCUCUAUUAACAAUGUAGCACAACAAACACUUAUUAAACUUCUCUGAAACCAGGAGAGAGGCAGAGAUGAAAGAGGGAUAUUUGCUGCUCAAAUGGACCUCAUAAUAAUGUUCCUUCUUAUCCUCUGCCUUUUUUCUCCCCAUCUCCCAAACACACAUAUAUCACAAAAAUGUUCAUAAUAUGGAACAAAGUGUAUUUUUAGUGUUCCACUUAUUAAAAACAGUUUUUGUUCCUUAGUUUUAUUUAAAAAGUCAGCUGAAC
rnacentral:lncRNA from 1 species